rnacentral:tRNA from 1 species
GCCGACGUAGCUCAGUUGGUAGAGCAAUUGCUUCGUAAGCAAUUGGUCGUAGGUUCAAGUCCUAUCGUCGGCU